rnacentral:rRNA from 1 species
UCGUAUCGCGUGAGGCUCCACGCUCUUGCNGGGGUACACGAGUGGCGAACGGGUGAGUAACACGUGGGUGACCUGCCCUGCACUUCGGGAUAAGCCUGGGAAACUGGGUCUAAUACCGGAUAGGACCGCACCGUGAGGGUGUGGUGGAAAGUUUUUUCGGUGUGGGAUGGGCCCGCGGCCUAUCAGCUUGUUGGUGGGGUAAUGGCCUACCAAGGCGGCGACGGGUAGCCGGCCUGAGAGGGUGGACGGCCACAUUGGGACUGAGACACGGCCCAGACUCCUACGGGAGGCAGCAGUGGGGAAUAUUGCACAAUGGGCGGAAGCCUGAUGCAGCGACGCCGCGUGGGGGAUGACGGCCUUCGGGUUGUAAACUCCUUUCACCAUCGACGAAGGGUUUCUGACGGUAGAUGGAGAAGAAGCACCGGCUAACUACGUGCCAGCAGCCGCGGUAAUACGUAGGGUGCGAGCGUUGUCCGGAAUUACUGGGCGUAAAGAGCUCGUAGGUGGUUUGUCGCGUCGUCUGUGAAAUUCCGGGGCUUAACUCCGGGCGUGCAGGCGAUACGGGCAUAACUUGAGUACUGUAGGGGAGACUGGAAUUCCUGGUGUAGCGGUGAAAUGCGCAGAUAUCAGGAGGAACACCGGUGGCGAAGGCGGGUCUCUGGGCAGUAACUGACGCUGAGGAGCGAAAGCAUGGGGAGCGAACAGGAUUAGAUACCCUGGUAGUCCAUGCCGUAAACGGUGGGCGCUAGGUGUGGGUUUCCUUCCACGGGAUCCGUGCCGUAGCUAACGCAUUAAGCGCCCCGCCUGGGGAGUACGGCCGCAAGGCUAAAACUCAAAGGAAUUGACGGGGGCCCGCACAAGCGGCGGAGCAUGUGGAUUAAUUCGAUGCAACGCGAAGAACCUUACCUGGGCUUGACAUAUACAGGAUCGCGCCAGAGAUGGUGUUUCCCUUGUGGCUUGUAUACAGGUGGUGCAUGGUUGUCGUCAGCUCGUGUCGUGAGAUGUUGGGUUAAGUCCCGCAACGAGCGCAACCCUUGUCUUAUGUUGCCAGCACGUUGUGGUGGGGACUCGUAAGAAACUGCCGGGGUUAACUCGGAGGAAGGUGGGGAUGACGUCAAAUCAUCAUGCCCCUUAUGUCCAGGGCUUCACACAUGCUACAAUGGUCGGUACAGUGGGUUGCCAGUCCGUGAGGGCGAGCUAAUCCCGCAAAGCCGGUCUCAGUUCGGAUCGGGGUCUGCAACUCGACCCCGUGAAGUCGGAGUCGCUAGUAAUCGCAGAUCAGCAACGCUGCGGUGAAUACGUUCCCGGGCCUUGUACACACCGCCCGUCACGUCAUGAAAGUCGGUAACACCCGAAGCCAGUGGCCUAACACAUUUUGUGGGGGAGCUAGCGUAUAUGGUGGGUAUUGUGCGAGU